rnacentral:rRNA from 1 species
CCUACGGGGGGCAGCAGUGAGGAAUAUUGGUCAAUGGACGAGAGUCUGAACCAGCCAAGUAGCGUGAAGGAUGACUGCCCUAUGGGUUGUAAACUUCUUUUAUAAAGGAAUAAAACGAGGCACGUGAGCCGUUUUGCAUGUACUUUAUGAAUAAGGAUCGGCUAACUCCGUGCCAGCAGCCGCGGUAAUACGGAGGAUCCGAGCGUUAUCCGGAUUUAUUGGGUUUAAAGGGAGCGUAGAUGGGUUGUUAAGUCAGUUGUGAAAGUUUGCGGCUCAACCGUAAAAUUGCAAUUGAUACUGGUAGUCUUGAGUACAGUUGAGGUAGGCGGAAUUCGUGGUGUAGCGGUGAAAUGCGUAGAUAUCACGAAGAACCCCGAUUGCGAAGGCAGCUUACUAAGCUGUGACUGACAUUGAUGCUCGAAAGUGUGGGUAUCAAACAGGAUUAGAUACCCGGGUAGUC